rnacentral:rRNA from 1 species
AGAGUUUGAUCCUGGCUCAGAUUGAACGCUGGGGGCAGGCCUAACACAUACAAGUCGGACGGUAGCACAGAGAGCUUGCUCUUGGGUGACGAGUGGCGGACGGGUGAGUAAUGUCUGGGGAUCUGCCCGAUAGAGGGGGAUAACCACUGGAAACGGUGGCUAAUACCGCAUAACGUCGCAAGACCAAAGAGGGGGACCUUCGGGCCUCUCACUAUCGGAUGAACCCAGAUGGGAUUAGCUAGUAGGCGGGGUAAUGGCCCACCUAGGCGACGAUCCCUAGCUGGUCUGAGAGGAUGACCAGCCACACUGGAACUGAGACACGGUCCAGACUCCUACGGGAGGCAGCAGUGGGGAAUAUUGCACAAUGGGCGCAAGCCUGAUGCAGCCAUGCCGCGUGUAUGAAGAAGGCCUUCGGGUUGUAAAGUACUUUCAGCGGGGAGGAAGGCGAUGCGGUUAAUAACC